rnacentral:ncRNA from 1 species
ACGUUCACUCUGUGUUUCACAGAGCGCAGUUCGUUUCAGACCAAGGAACGGGGGUCUGA